UACGUAGGGACCAAGCGUUGUCCGGAAUCAUUGGGCGUAAAGAGCGUGUAGGCGGCUUGUUAAGUCUUGCGUGAAAUCUCGGGGCUCAACCCCGAGCGGUCGUGAGAAACUGGCAGGCUAGAGUGCGGGAGAGGAGAGUGGAAUUCCUGGUGUAGCGGUGAAAUGCGCAGAUAUCAGGAAGAACACCCGUGGCGAAGGCGGCUCUCUGGACCGAGACUGACGCUGAGGCGCGAAAGCGUGGGGAGCAAACAGG
rnacentral:rRNA from 1 species